rnacentral:rRNA from 1 species
AUUGAACGCUGGCGGCAUGCCUUACACAUGCAAGUCGAACGGUAACAGGUCUUCGGAUGCUGACGAGUGGCGAACGGGUGAGUAAUACAUCGGAACGUGCCCGAUCGUGGGGGAUAACGGAGCGAAAGCUUUGCUAAUACCGCAUACGAUCUACGGAUGAAAGCAGGGGACCGCAAGGCCUUGCGCGGACGGAGCGGCCGAUGGCAGAUUAGGUAGUUGGUGGGAUAAAAGCUUACCAAGCCGACGAUCUGUAGCUGGUCUGAGAGGACGACCAGCCACACUGGGACUGAGACACGGCCCAGACUCCUACGGGAGGCAGCAGUGGGGAAUUUUGGACAAUGGGCGAAAGCCUGAUCCAGCCAUGCCGCGUGAAGGAUGAAGGCCUUCGGGUUGUAACUGCUUUUGUACGGAACGAAAAGACUCUUUCUAAUAAAGAGGGUCCAUGACGGUACCGUAAGAAUAAGCACCGGCUAACUACGUG